GAGAAAUUCUGCAAACACACACUACUGAGACAGAAGCUGUUCAGUCAACUGGGUAAGACAGAGACUUUAUUAUCAGAUCAAACUCAGGAUGCCGUACAUCACAGAUAUUGAUGUUUCCAUUAAUCCUGAACAGGAGCAAGGCCUAAGAAACCAAAGUUUCAAAAUAAUCAAUGUUAAUCUGAACAAAGGUGCUGGAGGAAAUAAUAUUUACCUCUGGUACAAGAAGGGAAGCAGCAAUCCCAUCACCAGAUUGCAGGUUACAUUCACAGAUGAAAUGCAAAUUGGUUUGAGGAACGCAGGUUACCAUAAGGUGGAUAAAGACCUCAAUGCAGGGGCUGGAGGAGAUAACAUCUUUCUCUGGUGCUACAAAGGUACAACUGAGUAUGACAACCCUAUAGUGGAACUUAAGGUCACCACAGAUGCAACAGAUGAAGCCCAAAUUUACCAGAAAGGCUGGGAACGACUGGCGUGUGACCUGAAUCGCAAUGCUAACGACAACUGGAUCCAUGUUUGGGUGAAGAAAGAGAAGAAAAUGUACAUCUCUGACAUCAAGGCAACUACCUCUUUUGCAUUUGAUAACGAGUAUUUUUCCCAGGGCUACACCCGUGUGGAUGAAAAUGUGAAUCGAGAUGCAGGAGAACGCUCUAUCUUUCUUUGGUAUCGUCAUUCUCUAACACAGUCCCAAAGCAUCAAUCUCCUGGAUGUCUCCACUAACAAUGAGGAAGAGGAAAGCCUUCGACUGUGUUAGAGAAUGACGAUACCAAAGAAAGAUAGAGCGUUCUCCUGCAUCUCGAUUCACAUUUUCAUCCACACGGGUGUAGCCCUGGGAAAAAUACUCGUUAUCAAAUGUAAAAGAGGUAGUUGCCUUGAUGUCAGAGAUGUACAUUUUCUUCUCUUUCUUCACCCAAACAUGGAUCCAGUUGUCAUUAGCAUUGCGAUUCAGGUCACACGCCAGUCGUUCCCAGCCAUUCUGGUAAUUUUGGGCUUCAUCUGUUGCAUCUGUGGUGACCUUAAGUUCCACUAUAGGGUUGUCAUACUUAGUUGUACCUUUGUAGCACCAGAGAAAGAUGUUAUCUCCUCCAGCCCCUGCAUUGAGGUCUUUAUCCACCUUAUGGUAACCUGCGUUCCUCAAACCAAUUUGCAUUUCAUCUGUGAAUGUAACCUGCAAUCUGGUGAUGGGAUUGCUGCUUCCCUUCUUGUACCAGAGGUAAAUAUUAUUUCCUCCAGCACCUUUGUUCAGAUUAACAUUGAUUAUUUUGAAACUUUGGUUUCUUAGGCCUUGCUCCUGUUCAGGAUUAAUGGAAACAUCAAUAUCUGUGAUGUACGGCAUCCUGAGUUUGGUGUCUGAAGAGGACUGUGUAGGUACCUGAACAAAACAGAAAGCAAGUUGUUUGAAAUUUAAAAACUAAAUAGAAACAAAUUAAACUGAUGUAAAUACAUAAGUCAGAUACACAUAGAGUUAACUAAAAAUAGUAGACAACUUAUCAAAUGUUGAAACUGAGAAAUGUUAUUGUUUUUGGAAAACUACAUGCCCUUGAAUUUGAUGCCAGCAACAUGUUUCAGAAAGGUUGGGGCAGGGGCAUGUUUACCACUGUGUUGCAUCAACUCUUCUUUUAACAAUACUCUGUAAGGGUUUUGGAACAGAGGAGACCAAUUGCUGUAGUUUUGAAAGUGAAAUGCAUUCCCAUUCUUACUUGAUAUAGGAUUUCAGCUGCUCAGCAGUUCGGGGUCUCCUUUGGGGUAUUUUCUGUUUUGUAAUAUGCCAAAUGUUUACAAUGGACGACAGGUAUCGACUGCAGGCAAGCCAGUUUAGCUCCCAGACUCUUUUACUACGGAGCCAUGCUGUUGAAAUAUGUGCAAAAUGUGGUUUGGCAUUGUCUUGCUGAAAUAAGCAAGGCCUUCCCUGAAAAAGAUGUCGUUUGCAUGUAACGGCAUAGGUUUGUUUAUUUUACCUAAUAUCAAGGUGUGCAUAAUUAUUAAGCAGCUUCAUGACCUCAGGUAAAAUGGGCCAAAAAACUGAUUUAACUGACACUGAAAAGUCAAAAAUUGCAAAAUGCUUUUCAGACGGAAGCAACACUCUUGAAAUAGCUAAACGAUUGAGGCGUGACCACUAGACAAUUAAAGGUUUUGUUGCAAAUAGUCUACUGGGGUGCAAAAAAAGCUUUGAGAAGAAAAGACGCAAAUUAACUGCAAACGACUUGAUUAAACGUGAAGCUUCCAGGAACCAAUUAUCCUCCAAUGCAAUCAUAUUCCAGAACUGCAACCUGCCUGGAGUGUCCAGAAGUACAAGGUGUCAAAUGCUCAGAGACACAUUUUUAUUUGUCAGAACACAGGACAGUUUUCCACUUCGACUCAGUUCAUCUAAAAUCAGCUCGGGCGUUUCUGGAUGUUUUUGACAUAAUAAUGAACCCAAAAUCGAAUUAUGUUCAAAAAACGUAUCAUGUUUUGUGCAUUACGGGUAAUGCAUUACAUUGUGAGCAUAUAUUGCAUUAUGCAUGCAAAAACUAUUAUGAUACUAGCAAGUGUAACAUUUUAGGCAUUUUAUCAGAUCCUGUAAAAGCUAAUAAUGUAAUAACCACCAAUCAUGUAAUAACUGCUAAUAUUGUAACAAUUUUAGCAUUUUAUGUUACAAGUAACGUUAGUGAAAUAACAUGCCCAUAUAUAUUUGAAAAUAUAUGCUUAGCAAUCCCAUAUGGAAAAUACAUAUAUUUUUGCAAUGCAUAAUGUAUGUAGAAUAAAUGAUGAAUAUAUGUCGAAUAUAUUAAUCUUAAUUCAAAAUACCUUUCAGGUAUCAAAAUGUAUUUCACCUUUUAUUCUGAAAUGUAUUUAAAAAUGUAUACAUACAUUUAACUUUAUUCAAAAUACAUUUUUGCUAUCAAAAUAUAUUUCAGCUUUUAUUCCAAAAUGUAUUUAAAAAUGUAUACAUACAUUUAACUCUAUUCAAAUAUAUUUCACCAUCAAAAAUGCUCUCAUUACAAUAUGUAUUUCCUAUAGAAAAUACAUUACAAAAUGUAUUUUGAAGCCCAUAUUAAAAUGAAUUUUUCAGAUCCUGUGAAAGUAAAAAGAUGAAAUGUAAUUACCAACGUAUUGAUUAUAUCACAUUUAGGUGUUGAAACACAUUUUAUAGAUAUACAAUACCAAAAUACAUUUUCAUCUUAUGGUCACAAAUAUAUUCGAAUGUAUUAGAGCAAACCCGGUAGGACCACUACUUGUCCCUCCAAAUGAAAUAAUCCUGUUUGGAGUAGUGUUUAGUGUUAAAAGAAGAGUUGAUGCAACACAGUGGUUAAUGUAUUCAGGAAUAUAUUUUCCAAAUGCAUUCAAAAAUAUUUGUAAAAUACAUUUAUUUGACAUUUGGGAUUAAAUGUACACAAAACUUUUUGAGCGUAAUGUAAGAAAAUUAUUCAAAACUAUAUUUUCUGUGGAUCGAAAUGGUGGACUUUGAAUAAGCGAAUACAAGAGAACACAAUCUUGAAAGCCAUGUAGAUUUUAAAUGAUGUCUCAUAAAAUUGUAAUCAUAAUUAAUUUGGAAUUAAAAUUGCCAAAGCUGCAAAGGACUGGACGGCAGGGAUCCUGAUUUGGUGGUAAGUCUAACCAAGUAAUGCAACAUUUGUACUGCGUAGUCCAAUGUCCUAAGAUUCAGGAGUCAGGUUUGGUGUAUUCAUCUGAACAGCUUUUUCAGAAAUAAAUCUACAGUGAUGGUAUUUGUUACAGGAAGUGUAAUGGCUAAUCAAUAAAAUAUAAAUACAGUGAUUUGAGUGUAUUAUUACAUUAUUAGUACAAGUUAUGUUCACCUACAAAUUUAGUUUUUUCUUCAUCCAGUUAAGCAAUAGGUUUAAUUACUAUUAGUAUAAGUUUUUGCAAAAUGAUGCAUUAAACCUAAAAGUGAUAAAUUCUAUCUGUUUGUUUUAAUUGCAACAGCAAGUUUUGUUUUGAUAGUAAGUUGGUAGUGUCACGGUACGGUGAGCAGCAGCGCCACUGUUCCGUGCACCCUCAGUUCCAGUCACAUACAAACUCAUCCCGGACUUGUUUCGUGUCAUGUCCUUCAUCAUUCACACCAGGUCCCAUUUAUCUCGUUAGUAUGUGUUUAAAUGUUUCCCUUCUGCUCAUCACAUUGUGGAUCAUUGUUGUUGUCCUGUCUUUCGUUUAAUGUAAGUAACUUAUAUCGUUACUUGCAUUCGUUUUGCUGCUGAAGUCAGCCUUUUCUUUCGUUGUUUUUGUGCUCAGUGUUACUUUUGUUUAAAUUAAAAAAAUCAACACCGACUACCUCUGCCUGCGCCUGGUUCUCUGCUCCCGCAACACCGCAUUCAUUACAGGUAGAUAUCUAGUUAAAUGCAUAGCCUCAUGCUACACUAGCCAGCUAUUUAAGCAUCGCCUGCUUUAGGAAACGUUUCCUGGCUAGCCUAACUAGUUAGUACAGUCUAAGUGCCUUCUUUUAGGCAGUAAUGCAUCAAACUGGUGUGUUGGCACAGAAGAGCUAAAUCAAAGUGAUGCGCCCAAUUUACUGCACGGCUGUCGGAUAUCCACAGCCCUACACUUACCGCCAAAGUAAUAAUAAAAAAACGGGCCACUGGUAAGAUUUUAACUUCUAAACUUUAUAUAACUAUCGUUUAUAAAUACAUAAAUUAACGCAUAAAAUCUGACUUUUUGCGACUUUACUAACACAAUAGCCAAAUACAUCCAACUGGGGGAAAAAAUCCCCCAAAUCCUGAAGAUGUAUUACAUUUAAAAUGGUAAAACACCGUAGUGGAAUUACAUUUUUUAUUAUUCUUUCACUUAUUGGAUAUUGUGGGUUAC
rnacentral:lncRNA from 1 species